AAUCAACGCUGGCGGCGUGCCUAACACAUGCAAGUCGAACGGGAAGGGGGGCUUCGGCCCCCGGAGAGUGGCGUACGGGUGAGUAACACGUGGGUAAUCUGCCUUUGGGUGGGGAAUAACGUCCCGAAAGGGACGCUAAUACCGCAUAACGCAGCGGCACCGCAUGGUGACAGUUGUUAAAGGGGGGGAUCCUGCAAGGGGACCUCUCGCCUGAAGAGGAGCCCGCGCCCGAUUAGCUAGUUGGAGAGGUAAUGGCUCACCAAGGCUUCGAUCGGUAGCCGGCCUGAGGGGGCGGGUCGGCCACACUGGCACUGAGACACGGGCCAGACUCCUACGGGAGGCAGCAGUGGGGAAUUUUGGGCAAUGGGCGAAAGCCUGACCCAGCAACGCCGCGUGAAGGACGAAAUCCCCGUCCGGGAUGUAAACUUCGAAAGUCAAGGAAAGAAAUCCGUAACGGGGAAUAUCCGUACGGGAUGACGGUACCUGACGUAA
rnacentral:rRNA from 1 species